AGGGGUGUCGUACAAUGGCAGUACAUCGGUCUCCAAAACCGCUGAUGGGAGUUCGAUUCUCUCCACCCCUGCCA
rnacentral:tRNA from 1 species